AACGAACGCUGGCGGCAGGCCUAACACAUGCAAGUCGAGCGAAGCCUUCGGGCUUAGCGGCGGACGGGUGAGUAACGCGUGGGAACGUGCCCUUUGGUACGGAAUAGCCCCGGGAAACUGGGAGUAAUACCGUAUGUGGUCGAGAGACGAAAGAUUUAUCGCCAAAGGAUCGGCCCGCGUUGGAUUAGGUAGUUGGUGGGGUAAUGGCCUACCAAGCCGACGAUCCAUAGCUGGUUUGAGAGGAUGAUCAGCCACACUGGGACUGAGACACGGCCCAGACUCCUACGGGAGGCAGCAGUGGGGAAUCUAGACAAUGGGGGAAACCCUGAUCUAGCCAUGCCGCGUGAUCGAUGAAGGCCUUAGGGUUGUAAAGAUCUUUCAGUGGGGAAGAUAAUGACUGUACCCACAGAAGAAGCCCCGGCUAACUACGUGCCAGCCGCCGCGGUAACAC
rnacentral:rRNA from 1 species